UACGGAGGGUGCAAGCGUUAUCCGGAUUUACUGGGUUUAAAGGGUGUGUAGGCGGACUAUUAAGUCAGUGGUGAAAUCCCGAGGCUCAACCUCGGAACUGCCUUCGAUACUAUUAGUCUUGAAUGUUGUUGAGGUGGGCGGAACGGGUCAUGUAGCGGUGAAAUGCAUAGAUAUGACCCGGAACACCGAUUGCGAAGGCAGCCCGCUAAGCAACUAUUGACGCUGAGGCACGAAAGCGUGGGGAUCAAACAGG
rnacentral:rRNA from 1 species